GAUGAACGCUGGCGGCGUGCCUAAUACAUGCAAGUCGAGCGAACAGACGAGGAGCUUGCUCCUUCGACGUUAGCGGCGGACGGGUGAGUAACACGUAGGUAACCUACCUAUAAGACUGGGAUAACUUCGGGAAACCGGAGCUAAUACCGGAUAAUAUUUCGAACCGCAUGGUUCGAUAGUGAAAGAUGGCUUUGCUAUCACUUAUAGAUGGACCUGCGCCGUAUUAGCUAGUUGGUAAGGUAACGGCUUACCAAGGCAACGAUACGUAGCCGACCUGAGAGGGUGAUCGGCCACACUGGAACUGAGACACGGUCCAGACUCCUACGGGAGGCAGCAGUAGGGAAUCUUCCGCAAUGGGCGAAAGCCUGACGGAGCAACGCCGCGUGAGUGAUGAAGGUCUUCGGAUCGUAAAACUCUGUUAUUAGGGAGGAACAAACGUGUAAGUAACUGUGCACGUCUUGACGGUACCUAAUCGGAAAGCCACGGCUAACUACGUG
rnacentral:rRNA from 1 species